rnacentral:rRNA from 1 species
AACGAACGCUGGCGGCGUGGAUAAGACAUGCAAGUCGAGCGAGAUUUUUUUCUGUAGCAAUACAGGGAAAAGUCUAGCGGCGAACGGGUGCGUAACACGUGGGCAACCUGCCAAGAAGUGGGGGAUAGCUCGCCGAAAGGCGAAUUAAUACCGCAUGUGAUUAGAGUGGACAUCCAUUCAAAAUCAAAGUCGGGGCAACCUGACGCUUCUUGAGGGGCCCGCGGCCUAUCAGCUAGUUGGUGAGGUAACGGCCCACCAAGGCUUAGACGGGUAGCUGGUCUGAGAGGACGACCAGCCACACUGGGACUGAGACACGGCCCAGACACCUACGGGUGGCAGCAGUCGAGAAUUUUUCUCAAUGGGGGAAACCCUGAAGGAGCGACGCCGCGUGGAGGAUGAAGGUCUUCGGGUUGUAAACUCCUGUCAUUUGGGAACAAUGCGCAAAUAUUAACUGUAUUUGCGUUGAUAGUACCAGAAGAGGAAGGGACGGCUAACUCUGUGCCAGCCGCCGCAGUAAGAC